UAGAUUAAAAUUAAAGGUAAAUUCUGCCCUAUGAUUAAAAUUAAAUGGCUGCAGUAUUUUGACUGUGCAAAGGUAGCAUAAUCAUUAGUCAUUUAAUUGUUGACUUGUAUGAAUGGAUAUAUGAGAGGUUUAUUUUUUAAAAUUUACUUUUAGAAUUUUAUUUUUAAGUAAAAAAGCUUAAUUAUUUUUUAGGGACGAUAAGACCCUAUAGAACUUUAUUAUAUUAAAAAUUUUAAAAUUUUAGUUGAAUUUUAUUUAUAUUUUAUAAUAUUUUUUUAUUGGGGUGAUAAAUAAAUUUUAACUUUAUUUUUUUAUUUCAUUAAUUUAUGAUUAUUUUUUGAUCCAACAUUUUAGAUUAUAAGAAUUAGUUACCUUAGGGAUAACAGCGUAAUUUUAAUGGGAAGUUCAUAUUUAUAUUAAAGUUUGCGACCUCGAUGUUGAAUUAAGAUUAGUUUGAGGGGUAG
rnacentral:rRNA from 1 species